rnacentral:rRNA from 1 species
GAGUUUGAUCGUGGCUCAGAGUGAACGCUGGCGGCAGGCCUAACACAUGCAAGUCGAACGGCAGCGCAGCAGUAGCAAUACUGUGGGCGGCGAGUGGCGGACGGGUGAGGAAUACAUCGGAAUCUACCUUGUCGUGGGGGAUAACGUAGGGAAACUUACGCUAAUACCGCAUACGAACUACGGUUGAAAGCGGCGGACCGCAAGGCGUCGCGCGAUUGGAUGAGCCGAUGUCCGAUUAGCUAGUUGGCGGGGUAAAGGCCCACCAAGGCGACGAUCGGUAGCUGGUCUGAGAGGAUGAUCAGCCACACUGGAACUGAGACACGGUCCAGACUCCUACGGGAGGCAGCAGUGGGGAAUAUUGGACAAUGGGCGCAAGCCUGAUCCAGCCAUGCCGCGUGUGUGAAGAAGGCC